rnacentral:tRNA from 5 species
UGGGAUGUGGCCUAGCGGUAGGGCAACUGUUUUUGGUACAGUAGAUCGUAGGUUCGAAUCCUACCAUCCCAGCCA